rnacentral:misc_RNA from 1 species
ACACCUCAACUCUCAUGGCUUGCCAUGAUGAGCUUGGACUUUGGAGGUCUUGUUGGCCUAUGAGCCAGCUCCUCUCAAAUGAAUUAGCUUGCCAGUGUUUGGUGGCGUCACAGGUGUGAUAACUAUCUACGCUUGUGGUUUCCCACCAGGUAACCUUCAGCGAUGGAGGUUCAUUGGAGCUUAUAAACGUCUCUCCUCAGCGAGGACACAUUUUGACC